rnacentral:rRNA from 1 species
CCUACGGGAGGCAGCAGUGGGGAAUCUUCCGCAAUGGGCGAAAGCCUGACGGAGCAACGUCGCGUGAUCGAAUGAAGGCCUAUGGGUUGUAAAGAUCUGUUGACAGGGACGAAUAAGCACUGCGUAUAGCUUUGUGUAUGACCGUACCUGAUAAGAAAGCGCCUGCUAACUACGGGCCAGCAGCCGCGGUACAACGUAUGGAGGAGUCGUUGGCCGGGAUUACUGGGCGUAAAGGGGGCGUAGGAGGGCGCUUAAGGCAGGUGUGAAAACUGCGGGCUCAACCUGCAGACUGCAGUUGAAACUGGGUGUCUUGAGGGCAGGAGAGGAAAGUGGAAUGCCUAGUGUAGCGGUGAAAUGCGUAGAUAUUAGGAGGAACGCCGGUGGCGAAGGCGACUUUCUGGACUGUACCUGACGCUGAGGCGCGAAAGCGUGGGUAGCGAACGGGAUUAGAUACCCGAGUAGUC